UACGUAGGGUGCAAGCGUUGUCCGGAAUUAUUGGGCGUAAAGAGCUCGUAGGCGGUUUGUCGCGUCUGCUGUGAAAACUCGGGGCUUAACUCCGGGCCUGCAGUGGGUACGGGCAGACUAGAGUGCGGUAGGGGAGACUGGAAUUCCUGGUGUAGCGGUGAAAUGCGUAGAUAUCAGGAGGAACACCGGUGGUGUAGACGGCUUUCUGGACAAUCACUGACGCUGAGGUACGAAAGCGUGGGUAGCAAACAGG
rnacentral:rRNA from 1 species